UACGGAGGGUGCGAGCGUUAUCCGGAAUCACUGGGUUUAAAGGGUGCGUAGGCGGCGAGGUAAGUCAGUUGUGAAAUUCCCCGGCUCAACCGGAGGGACUGCGAUUGAUACUGCUUUGCUUGAAACAGGUUGAGGUAAGCGGAAUGUGACAUGUAGCGGUGAAAUGCAUAGAUAUGUCAUAGAACACCGAUUGCGAAGGCAGCUUGCUGGGCCUGAUCUGACGCUGAGGCACGAAAGCGUGGGGAGCAAACAGG
rnacentral:rRNA from 1 species